rnacentral:rRNA from 1 species
CGGUGAGUGAAGCGGCAACAGCUCAAAUUUGAAAUCCGGCCCUUUCGCGGUCCGAGUUGUAAUUUACAGAGNGUGUUUCGGGCGCGGCGCCUGUCUAAGUCCUUUCGAACAGGGUGUCAUAGAGGGUGAAAAUCCCGUAUGUGACCGGCACCCACNNCCGUGUGAACCCCAUUNGGCGAGUCGAGUUGUUUGGGAAUGCAGCUCACAGCGGGUGGUAAAUUUCAUCCAAAGCUAACUACGGGCCAGAGACCGAUAGCGCACAAGUAGAGUGAUCGAAAGAUGAAAAGCACUUUGGAAAGAGAGUCAAACAGUACGUGAAAUUGUUGAAAGGGAAGCGCAUGCAACCAGACCUGUUCGUGGGUGAUCAGCGGUGCUUCUCGCGCCGUGCACUCGUCCGCGACCAGGCCAGCAUCGGUUCGGGCGGCCGGAGAAAGACUCGAAGAAUGUAGCUCCCUCCGGGGAGUGUUAUAGCUUCCCGUGCAAUACGGCCCACCGGGACCGAGGAUCGCGCUUCGGCUAGGAUGCUGGCGUAAUGGUUGUCAGCGACC